UGUGGGAGCGGGCUUGCUCGCGAUGGCGGUAGGUCUGCCAAUGCAUCGGGUGACUGGCACACCGCUAUCGCGAGCAAGCCCGCUCCCACA
rnacentral:misc_RNA from 1 species